AGACAUACGAGAACGCGCGAUAUGCGUAUCAUACUGCAAGUGCUGCGUGUCGCAUGUGUAUUUGCGUCAAGAGAUGCUGUAGGUAAAUAUGUGACGUGGUAUUGGAGAUAGAGAGAGAAGAGAAGGGAAGUUGAACAGUCAGAGAAUCAGAAAAUUGAACGCAUGCGUUUGGUGGUUGCGUUGCGGUAAGGCCACAUCAAUAUGGAUUCAAUCAAAGAGUUCGAUGAUGUUUGGACACGUUUUAGUGGAUAGAUAAGAGCUUUUUAUGUCAUAAAGUGGGAUUCACGCUGAGUAUAGAGUUUGUAGUACGACUCGAAGCCAAGCGAACACGUGUCAAAGUAUAGAAAAUUUAAGAAACGCAGAUAAAAUAAAACGUUUAAAGUUGGCGUAACAGAUCAAGCAUGACCAAGCGCUUAGCCAACAGCAUGAGACCCAACUUGCCAAAACUACCAGUGGGGCUACUCGCUGUUUUGGCUGAAGUGCCACUACCAUUCGGGUAACCCAGUAAAAAUUACUGGACUUUACAGCAAGGUUUUAUUCUCAGUACAUGUAGGAAACUUUAUCGACCAAAAUUGUAAGAUUGAAGUUACCGCUGGUGAAAAGAAAUGUCUUAUGAAAAUCUAAUAGGUACGCAUCUCGAGAGAGUACAACGAAUAUUUUAAAUAAAAAUGGUUGAAUUCAUUGAAAAUUUUGAUAAAAGGUCAAUUUUUUAUAUGUCUCAGCUAAGUUAUUUGCGCAGCUUUCAAAUCCCUUGUGUCAUGAAUCGGAUGACUCGUGAAUACUGUGAAUUUAUACAUUCGUUUAGAUGUGUUUAAUUUGCACAAAUAUAACCAUUUGUAACAUGAGCAUAAUGCUUUUUUAAUCGACAAGAUUCUAAGCGAAGUGCGUUCCCCACACAUAGGCACUAUGGCCUUUUUGAUUGUUGCUCAAAUAAAAUUUAUGAAUAACGCUCUAAAUUUAGCAACAAAGAUUCAAUUCUAUACUAAUCGCGGUUUUUUUUUAUAGAUGGACUAAAUUCUAAACAAUAUGCAGUACGUGAGCAAAGAAACAAAUUUGUUUAUCUGACAAAUAAAAUUCUUUAUUAUAAGAAAUAUUAAAUUCUUGUGUACCCUUAUCCGAUCUCUUCGUGCUGCAUAAAGUACCCAAAGUAUGUAAGUCACCAUAAUAAUGGCAGGUAUACAAAUUCCAGCUAUUGUUGAUGCCCCUCUUGCAAACACAUGAUAAACUGCAAUGAGUAUAAUGGCUAAGGCUGCUCCACCGGCGACAUAGCGACCAGUCCGUCUUCUUUCCUCCUAAUUUGAACAAAAAAGUGCUUGAUUGCAAUACUAGUAUAUAAAUAGACUCUUCGGUCUUUUAUGGGGAUGUUUGCUCUGCAAGCUUGAGUUAGAUGAUGCCAGUACACGUUAGCACUAUUGUGACUGGCGCACCUAUAACAUAUAUCUAAAUACGUAACUGUGCUAGUCUACUGCGAACUCAUGUACCUAGCAAGUCAAUACUGCGAAAAUUUGAAAAUCGUCUCUAUAUUAGCAUAAGAGUAACACAAAAUGUUUGCGAUUUCACUACAGAUUAUAAAGAUGCCUUGCGUUUUGCGAAAUAUGCUGUAAUCAUGCUAUAAAUCACGUUAGUUUAAGUAAAUUUGCGGUCGACUAGCGGAGCUAUGUUAUAGGCGGCUACAACAGUGCUCAAGCUUGCAGGGCAAACAUCCUCAUACACUUGAGUUUCAAAAAUUAUAGCGAUCGAAUAUGUUUAUUAAAUUAUUUAAAUACAAAUAAAACUAUAUUUACAGUUUUUACUGUCAUAUUACAAUAGCAUUUUUCCAGUAAUCAAAUUCUGUGAAUACUACACGAUGAUUUUUACCGAGGAAUGUAACGAAAUAAAAUUUCGAAUCUUUGAUGCACGCGCCCGCAAAACAAGGACGACUCAUGAACAUAAUACGAUAACCUAUAAUGUCUCUAAAAAAAAAGUAAUGACUGGAUGUUGUAAAGCCGUCAAUAAAGCAAUUUUAUUACAAUGUGAAAACAAAUAUUUGAUCUAAAUAUUGUUACUAUUUUGAACUUAUAACCUCAAGAAAAUUAAGUUAAUCGCGCGCUGGAUUUAGCUAGUAGAAAGAAAAACGACGUCAGUCCAACUUCGUAUGAUAUAGCAUAUGUAAAUUUUCCGCAGUCUUUUCAUUCUUUUCCCCAAAAUCAAGUACGUUACGAAAAAUUACCAUGUCCUCAAUCAGUCACAGAGAUAAGGAAACGCACCAAGCUCUGUCAGCUUCUUAGGGCUGUAGGGAACAUAUAGUGCCGAUCUUAGUUAGGAAGAUGAAGUUGCAGAGCUACAUACACUCAUACAGUGCAGGCUAUGCAGCAGUGUAGCGCAUGCAUUUUCAUAUCGCGAACUGCGCGUGAAGUGUAUAUUCUAUAUACAGCGUAAGAACUGUACUAUAUAUAGCGUAUAUACAGCGUAAGGUCUUCGGUAGAUCGCCGGGGAUCUCCCGACGUCGUCCGCAGUUUUCUGCCCUUUUACUGAACUGGCGCUUGCGUCUCUCUGUUAUGUAUGUAUGCAAAUUUUACAUUGCGAACACAUAUGAGAAAGUCGUGCAACGGGGCGAGGGCAAGUGUGCCCGUGUGCGUACAUGUGGUGUAGGUAUAUACGUCUGACAUCAAUGCAAACCCAUCCAUGCAUACGAAGUCCAUGUAAACACGCGCAUAUGGAAAAUCUCAUUCCCUGGAUUCCGUUGGCUGAAAUCUACCCUUUUUGAAUUUCGGGAAAGAUACGAUGCUUUCGUAAAUACACAAUUUGCAUUUGGACUGUACGUUUUUGUAUUUAUGUACUCCUAUCAACAUUGAUUGUUUGAACAAUGCGAACAAGGUUAUUACAAAUUCGAUGUUACGGGUAUGCUUUAUUUUUGUAUCCAUAAUGGCUGGCAUGUAUUAUUGACGAAUUUUUACAAUUAUGUAGUAAAGUAGAUGUGCAUUUUAUUCCUCUCUUAAAAUAGCGUUGACCGGUUGUUAUGAAACCGUUGCUACCAACCGUGAAAAGUUUUGAUGUAAUUAAAAUUUUAAUUUAAAUAAUAAAAUAGUUCUAUUAAAAUUA
rnacentral:lncRNA from 1 species